rnacentral:misc_RNA from 1 species
AGCAGCCGCGGUAAUUCCAGCUCCAAUAGCGUAUAUUAAAGUUGUUGCAGUUAAAAAGCUCGUAGUUGAAUUUCGGAGUUCUACCGUCGGUCGGGCUACCAAGUCUGUACUGGUGUGUAGAAUUCCUACCUUCUGGGGAACUAUCAUGUUAUUAAUUUAGCGUGGUGGGAAACCAGGACCUUUACCUUGAAAAAAUUAGAGUGUUCAAAGCAGGCAUAUGUCUGAAUACAUUAGCAUGGAAUAAUAGAAUAGGACGGUGGUCCUGUUUUGUUGGUUUCUGAAUCACCGUAAUGAUUAAUAGGGAUAGUUGGGGGCAUUAGUAUUCAAUUGUCAGAGGUGAAAUUCUUGGAUUUAUUGAAGACUAACUUCCGCGAAAGCAUUUGCCAAGGAUGUUUUCAUUAAUCAAGAACGAAA